AUGACGUUGGACAUCGUUAACGGUCGGAAGGUUCCAUAAGGGAAAAAUGUCUUGGCUGGAAUAAUCUAUUAUCAUUCGGAAUACUGAAUAUAAGGUUUGAAGAAAUUGCUUUGGCACUGCAGAUGCAUAAGCACAGGUGGAAGUCACUAUGAAGAGGUUGCGACUGAAACCGGAAGCUGUAGCACUGCAACAUGUGCAUAGUGCCACUGACAACACAUGUUUUUUGGAGGCACGACACAUAAAUCCAAUAAAAGG